CCCCCACCCGAGCAAACAAACACACACAAAAGCAGAAAGAAAGGGUCUUGCUCAGCAGCAGCAUGGAUGUCUUGGCUAGUUAUAGUAUAUUCCAGGAACUCCAGCUUGUCCACGACACCGGCUACUUCUCAGCUUUGCCAUCCUUGGAGGAAAACUGGCAGCAGACAUGCCUGGAGCUGGAGCGAUAUCUUCAGACUGAACCACGGAAGAUCUCCGAGACCUUUGGUGAGGAUUUGGACUGCUUCCUUCACGCUUCCUCAGCCCCAGAUGCAGAGGACAACAUCCGACGGCUGGAUCCCAUCCUUUUACCAGUGGAGACGAGUACAUGUGACAAAAGCACGAACAUGGACAUUAUCCUCUCACGGGACAAGCUGUUGUCUGAGACGUGUCUCAGCCUGCAGUCCACCAGCUCUUCCACAGAAGGCUACACAGCCGUCAACCAGGCCCAACUCAAUGCAGUAACCUCAUUAACACCCCCUUCCUCUCCAGAGCUCAGCCGCCACCUUGUAAAAACCUCACAAACUCUCUCAGCAGUGGAUGGUACAGUGACAUUAAAACUGGUGGCCAAGAAAACGUCGCUCAGCUCUGUGAAAGUGGGGGUAGCAACAGCCACUGCGGGGACGAUAAAAGGAGGGCAAAGUGACAGUGAACAAGGAGGUACAGGAGCAGAAGCAUCCCCAGAAAACAAGAAGAGGGUUCAUCGCUGUCAGUUUAAUGGGUGCCGUAAGGUUUAUACAAAGAGUUCCCACUUAAAGGCUCACCAGAGGACUCAUACAGGUGAGAAGCCUUACAAGUGCUCGUGGGAAGGGUGCGAGUGGCGUUUUGCACGGAGCGACGAGCUCACGAGGCAUUACAGAAAGCACACGGGUGCAAAGCCCUUUAAAUGCAACCAUUGUGACAGGUGUUUUUCCAGGUCUGAUCACCUCGCCCUCCACAUGAAGAGACACAUCUAAAGAGCAGUCAGCUUGGAAUGGAUGUCAUCUGAGCUAAGUGUUGUGAGAUGAAAGUGGAACUCAAUUACAACACACUACCUUGCAGGAGAAGAGGACUUGAUCACGUGUAAUUCUCUGUACAGAGGCCACACGCUCACACUGUCAUGCACCCAAUUACUUCAGUACGUACAUCGGUUCUUUAUGCCUUGCCCCAGCUGGAUGGGAGAAGAUGCAGGCAAGGAAAUGGUAUAGAUGUGAAGUGAAUGAGAAGGAACAAUUGCUUACAGUACUUCGUCCCUCUUGGAUUUGUUUCCUGGUUUUGCUAAUGGAAAUCAAAGAAAACAGGAGGCUUCCUUGCAGGCGGACAGCAGUAGGAUGGGCUUAUUUAACUUGCUUCUAAGUGCAACUCAGUAGGAGAAUAUGUUGUCUUGAAGUUGCAUAUUUGUAGCACUAACUUUCUUUUUAAAUAGAUGGGGGGAAAACAAUGACCUAGAAAACCAAAUCCCAGUUUGGUAGCCAAAAUUAACCUCUUGGUUCAUUUGUUCUUUGUCUGAGAAUUCCUAGUGUUCAGUGCAUCAGACUUCUCACAGACGCUUUGAACCUGUCUUGGAUUUGGUUCUUCUUCCUAGAACUGAGUUAUUUAGAUCCUUUUAAGUCAAUACCAGUGGCCUUAAUGGCAGUAGACUGUGGAGUGACACUUGUGACACAAAUACCCUCUUUUUGGCCUGAGUUUUUGUAGACUUCAUGGAGGACUAUAUUUUUGUUGGUUGUUUUUAUUUUACUUUUUGUUUUGGCUAUUGCACAACAUAUGCACUAAGGACUCUGGAAGCUGCUGCCAUGAUGGCUGAGUGGCCAAGGGAUAAUCCCAUGAGAAACAGCACCUAAUAUCUCUGUAGGCCUCACCUAAUUGCCAUAGCUAGGACUUCUUCUUUAUUUGUUGAACAAAAAACUUUAAAAGCUGGUUCGAAAGCUUAAACAUUUUUUCUCUUUUCUCCACGAACAAGUGAUCUUCAGAACUCCUUGUCUUCACCUGGAUAUUGGUCUGGGACUGGCCACACAGGCAUGACUACAGGAUUCCUUCCACAUCAUGCUAACACAACACUGACCAAACACAGAUGGGGAAAGAAGAACCUGAAAGCAAGAGGAACCCCCAGAUCCUUGCUUUUGGAACUAUUUUCACUUCAGGAGUAAAAAGAUAACUAAUCACUGGGGUGUGUGGCUGAAAUGGAGUUGAUCAAUAUGAUUGUCGCAGUGAUGGAGUGUAUCUUACCUGUGACUUUUCUCAUACCUACAGAACCAGUCCUGACCCUAGAUAGUUUGGGCUUUUGAGUUAUCUCUAACACAAAGGUUGCUCCUCCUGUUUAACAUAGUUUGUUUAUCUGUGUACAGAAGAGGUCAUAAAUG